rnacentral:tRNA from 1 species
UAUUUAUUAGUUUAAAAAAACAUUACAUUUUCAUUGUAAAAUUAAUAUAUUUUAUUAUAAAUUA